UGAGGAAUAUUGGUCAAUGGGUGCAAGCCUGAACCAGCCAUCCCGCGUGAAGGACGACUGCCCUAUGGGUUGUAAACUUCUUUUGUAUAGGGAUAAACCUACCCUCGUGAGGGUAGCUGAAGGUACUAUACGAAUAAGCACCGGCUAACUCCGUGCCAGCAGCCGCGGUAAUACGGAGGGUGCAAGCGUUAUCCGGAUUUAUUGGGUUUAAAGGGUCCGUAGGCGGACUUAUAAGUCAGUGGUGAAAGCCUGUCGCUUAACGAUAGAACUGCCAUUGAUACUGUAAGUCUUGAGUAUAUUUGAGGUAGCUGGAAUAAGUAGUGUAGCGGUGAAAUGCAUAGAUAUUACUUAGAACACCAAUUGCGAAGGCAGGUUACCAAGAUAUAACUGACGCUGAGGGACGGAAGCGUGGGGAGCGAACA
rnacentral:rRNA from 1 species